AAGAUUAAGAUUGCUGCCGACCAAGCUAAGUGUCAAUGGUUAACGCUACGUAGCAAUUGAAACACAGUCUAGCUCUGUCGCACCAUUGCAGAAGAGCGAUAAGGAGAGCUUCAAAGCGAGCUUGGUUGGAUAACGGCCGGCAGCAGUAGGGCUAGCAAUCACCGGAUCGCCAAGCCGUCCACAAAAUGACGGCGUCAGACCGCCCCACAUGGAUGGGGCGCGCCCCGACACAGCCCCCACAGCGCCCAGCGCGGAAGGGGCCACUCACACCCCAGCAGGGGUGUCGAAUGAAGACGCACCACCACCACCAGGAGCUCAUUCUGUCCUCUGCGAAAUAACUUCUGACAUUCUGCCUGACACUCUGUCCGUCAGUUACUAGUAGUAAUUAUAAUUAACCAGUUGUAACUAAGUAAUAAAGUUAGUAUCUGCAA